rnacentral:sRNA from 1 species
UCUUCCUCCCCUACCCCCAAGGGUGACCAUCGUUAGCGUCUGUUUUUGCAGAAAUACUCUGGUGCUUUGACCUGGAGUCAUACCUGCAGCUCAACUGUGAGCGGGGGACUUGGAGGUGUCCUGUGUGCAACAAGACAGCUUUGCUGGAGGGCCUGGAGGUGGACCAGUACAUGCUGGGCAUCCUGAUUUACAUUCAGAACUCUGACUAUGAGGAGAUCACCAUCGACCCCACGUGCAGCUGGAAGCCAGUGCCCGUGAAGCCUGACAUGCACAUCAAGGAGGAGCCGGACGGGCCGGCACUGAAGCGCUGCCGCACCGUGAGCCCCGCCCACGUGCUCAUGCCCAGCGUGAUGGAGAUGAUCGCCGCCCUGGGCCCCGGCGC